UCACUCUGGCUUCUCUUCAACGUAUGAUUCUUUCGCCUUUUACUAAAGAAUUCCGUGGAGAGGAGCAGUUCAAUGAGUCUUGAACAUUUUUCGAUAUCCGAAUUUGGUCGGUUU
rfam:Ciona savignyi cont_32014, whole genome shotgun sequence.